UACGGAGGGUGCAAGCGUUAUCCGGAUUCACUGGGUUUAAAGGGUGCGUAGGCGGCAUGCCAAGUCAGGGGUGAAAGGUUUCGGCCCAACCGGGACAGUGCCUUUGAUACUGGCGUGCUUGAGUGCGUGAGGGGUGACUGGAACGAGUGGUGUAGCGGUGAAAUGCGUAGAUAUCACUCGGAAGGCCAACGGCGAAGGCAGGUCACUGGUACGCAACUGACGCUGAGGCACGAAAGCGUGGGGAGCAAACAGG
rnacentral:rRNA from 1 species